GAUGAACGCUGGCGGCGUGCCUAAUACAUGCAAGUCGAGCGAACGGACGAGAAGCUUGCUUCUCUGAUGUUAGCGGCGGACGGGUGAGUAACACGUGGAUAACCUACCUAUGAGACUGGGAUAACUUCGGGAAACCGGAGCUAAUACCGGAUAAUAUUUUGAACCGCAUGGUUCAAAAGUGAAAGACGGUCUUGCUGUCACUUAUAGAUGGAUCCGCGCUGCAUUAGCUAGUUGGUAAGGUAACGGCUUACCAAGGCAACGAUGCAUAGCCGACCUGAGAGGGUGAUCGGCCACACUGGAACUGAGACACGGUCCAGACUCCUACGGGAGGCAGCAGUAGGGAAUCUUCCGCAAUGGGCGAAAGCCUGACGGAGCAACGCCGCGUGAGUGAUGAAGGUCUUCGGAUCGUAAAACUCUGUUAUUAGGGAAGAACAUAUGUGUAAGUAACUGUGCACAUCUUGACGGUACCUAAUCAGAAAGCCACGGCUAGCUACGUG
rnacentral:rRNA from 1 species